GAUGAACGCUGGCGGCGUGCCUAAUACAUGCAAGUCGAGCGAACGGACGAGAAGCUUGCUUCUCUGAUGUUAGCGGCGGACGGGUGAGUAACACGUGGAUAACCUACCUAUAAGACUGGGAUAACUUCGGGAAACCGGAGCUAAUACCGGAUGAUAUUUUGAACCGCAUGGUUCAAAAGUGAAAGACGGUCUUGCUGUCACUUAUAGAUGGAUCCGCGCUGCAUUAGCUAGUUGGUAAGGUAACGGCUUACCAAGGCAACGAUGCAUAGCCGACCUGAGAGAGUGAUCGGCCACACUGGAACUGAGACACGGUCCAGACUCCUACGGGAGGCAGCAGUAGGGAAUCUUCCGCAAUGGGCGAAAGCCUGACGGAGCAACGCCGCGUGAGUGAUGACGGUCUUCGGAUCGUAAAACUCUGUUAUUAGGGAAGAACAUAUGUGUAAGUAACUGUGCACAUCUUGACGGUACCUAAUCAGAAAGCCACGGCUAACUACGUG
rnacentral:rRNA from 1 species